GGGCCCGCACAAGCGGUGGAGCAUGUGGUUUAAUUCGAAGCUACGCGAAGAACCUUACCAGGUCUUGACAUCCCGCUGACCGGUAUAGAGAUAUACCUUUCCCUUCGGGGACAGCGGUGACAGGUGGUGCAUGGUUGUCGUCAGCUCGUGUCGUGAGAUGUUGGGUUAAGUCCCGUAACGAGCGCAACCCUUGAUAUUAGUUGCCAGCAUUAAGUUGGGCACUCUAAUGUGACUGCCGGUGACAAACCGGAGGAAGGUGGGGAUGACGUCAAAUCAUCAUGCCCCUUAUGACCUGGGCUACACACGUGCUACAAUGGAUGGUACAACGGGCAGCGAAACGGCGACGUGGAGCAAA
rnacentral:rRNA from 1 species